rnacentral:rRNA from 1 species
GAUGAACGCUGGCGGCGUGCCUAAUACAUGCAAGUCGAGCGAACGGACGAGAAGCUUGCUUCUCUGAUGUUAGCGGCGGACGGGUGAGUAACACGUGGAUAACCUACCUAUAAGACUGGGAUAACUUCGGGAAACCGGAGCUAAUACCGGAUAAUAUUUUGAACCGCAUGGUUCAAAAGUGAAAGACGGUCUUGCUGUCACUUAUAGAUGGAUCCGCGCUGCAUUAGCUAGUUGGUAAGGUAACGGCUUACCAAGGCAACGAUGCAUAGCCGACCUGAGAGGGUGAUCGGCCACACUGGAACUGAGACACGGUCCAGACUCCACGGGAGGCAGCAGUAGGGAAUCUUCCGCAAUGGGCGAAAGCCUGACGGAGCAACGCCGCGUGAGUGAUGAAGGUCUUCGGAUCGUAAAACUCUGUUAUUAGGGAAGAACAUAUGUGUAAGUAACUGUGCACAUCUUGACGGUACCUAAUCAGAAAGCCACGGCUAACUACGUG